rnacentral:rRNA from 1 species
AGUACCGUGAGGGAAAGGUGAAAAGUACCCCGGAAGGGGAGUGAAAGAGAACUUGAAACCGUGUGCUUACAAGUAGUCAGAGCCCGUUAAUGGGUGAUGGCGUGCCUUUUGUAGAAUGAACCGGCGAGUUACGAUCUGAUGCAAGGUUAAGCAGAAAAUGUGGAGCCGUAGCGAAAGCGAGUCUGAAUAGGGCGAAUGAGUAUUUGGUCGUAGACCCGAAACCAGGUGAUCUACCCUUGGUCAGGUUGAAGUUCAGGUAACACUGAAUGGAGGACCGAACCGACUUACGUUGAAAAGUGAGCGGAUGAACUGAGGGUAGCGGAGAAAUUCCAAUCGAACUUGGAGAUAGCUGGUUCUCUCCGAAAUAGCUUUAGGGCUAGCCUCAAGUGAUGAUUAUUGGAGGUAGAGCACUGUUUGGACGAGGGGCCCCUCUCGGGUUACCGAAUUCAGACAAACUCCGAAUGCCAAAUAAUUUAACUUGGGAGUCAGAAUGUGGGUGAUAAGGUCCAUAUUCGAAAGGGAAACAGCCCAGACCACCAGCUAAGGUCCCAAAAUAUAUGUUAAGUGGAAAAGGAUGUGGCGUUGCCCAGACAACUAGGAUGUUGGCUUAGAAGCAGCCAUCAUUUAAAGAGUGCGUAAUAGCUCACUAGUCGAGUGACACUGCGCCGAAAAUGUACCGGGGCUAAACAUAUUACCGAAGCUGUGGAUUGUCCUUUGGACAAUGGUAGGAGAGCGUUCUAAGGGCGUUGAAGCAUGAUCGCAAGGACAUGUGGAGCGCUUAGAAGUGAGAAUGCCGGUGUGAGUAGCGAAAGACGGGUGAGAAUCCCGUCCACCGAUUGACUAAGGUUUCCAGAGGAAGGCUCGUCCGCUCUGGGUUAGUCGGGUCCUAAGCUGAGGCCGACAGGCGUAGGCGAUGGAUAACAGGUUGAUAUUCCUGUACCACCAUUAUUCGUUUUAAGCGAUGGGGGGACGCAGUAGGAUAGGCGAAGCGUGCUGUUGGAGUGCACGUCCAAGCAGUGAGAUUGAGUGUUAGGCAAAUCCGGCACUCUUAAGAUUGAGCUGUGAUGGGGAGAGGAACUUGUUCCUCGAGUCGUUGAUUUCACACUGCCGAGAAAAGCCUCUAGCUAGAAUAACGGUGCCCGUACCGCAAACCGACACAGGUAGUCAAGAUGAGAAUUCUAAGGUGAGCGAGCGAACUCUCGUUAAGGAACUCGGCAAAAUGACCCCGUAACUUCGGGAGAAGGGGUGCUCUUUGAGGUUCACGCUUCGAAGAGCCGCAGUGAAUAGGCCCAAGCGACUGUUUAUCAAAAACACAGGUCUCUGCUAAACCGUAAGGUGACGUAUAGGGGCUGACGCCUGCCCGGUGCUGGAAGGUUAAGAGGAGUGGUUAGCGCAAGCGAAGCUACGAAUCGAAGCCCCAGUAAACGGCGGCCGUAACUAUAACGGUCCUAAGGUAGCGAAAUUCCUUGUCGGGUAAGUUCCGACCCGCACGAAAGGCGUAACGAUUUGGGCACUGUCUCAACGAGAGACUCGGUGAAAUCAUAGUACCGGUGAAGAUGCCGGUUACCCGCGACAGGACGGAAAGACCCCGUGGAGCUUUACUGUAGCCUGAUAUUGAAAUUCGGUACAGUUUGUACAGGAUAGGUAGGAGCCUUAGAAGCGUGAGCGCUAGCUUACGUGGAGGCAUUGGUGGGAUACUACCCUAAUUGUAUUGGAUUUCUAACCCGCAGCACUUAUCGUGCUGGGAGACAGUGUCAGGCGGGCAGUUUGACUGGGGCGGUCGCCUCCUAAAGAGUAACGGAGGCGCUCAAAGGUUCCCUCAGAAUGGUUGGAAAUCAUUCAUAGAGUGUAAAGGCAUAAGGGAGCUUGACUGCGAGACCUACAAGUCGAGCAGGGUCGAAAGACGGACUUAGUGAUCCGGUGGUUCCGCAUGGAAGGGCCAUCGCUCAACGGAUAAAAGCUACCCCGGGGAUAACAGGCUUAUCUCCCCCAAGAGUUCACAUCGACGGGGAGGUUUGGCACCUCGAUGUCGGCUCAUCGCAUCCUGGGGCUGUAGUCGGUCCCAAGGGUUGGGCUGUUCGCCCAUUAAAGCGGUACGCGAGCUGGGUUCAGAACGUCGUGAGACAGUUCGGUCCCUAUCCGUCGUGGGCGUAGGAAAUUUGAGAGGAGCUGUCCUUAGUACGAGAGGACCGGGAUGGACAUACCUCUGGUGUACCAGUUGUCGUGCCAACGGCAUAGCUGGGUAGCUAUGUAUGGACGGGAUAAGUGCUGAAAGCAUCUAAGCAUGAAGCCCCCCUCGAGAUGAGAUUUCCCAACUUCGGUUAUAAG